GGCAGCAGCCGCGGUAACACCGGCGGCCCGAGUGGUGAUCGUGAUUAUUGGGUCUAAAGGGUCCGUAGCCGGUUUGGUCAGUCCUCCGGGAAAUCUGAUAGCUCAACUAUUAGGCUUUCGGGGGAUACUGCCAGACUUGGAACCGGGAGAGGUAAGAGGUACUACAGGGGUAGGAGUGAAAUCUUGUAAUCCCUGUGGGACCACCUGUGGCGAAGGCGUCUUACCAGAACGGGUUCGACGGUGAGGGACGAAAGCUGGGGGCACGAACCGGAUUAGAUACCCGGGUAGUCCCAGCCGUAAACGAUGCUCGCUAGGUGUCAGGCAUGGCGCGACCGUGUCUGGUGCCGCAGGGAAGCCGUGAAGCGAGCCACCUGGGAAGUACGGCCGCAAGGCUGAAACUUAAAGGAAUUGGCGGGGGAGCACAACAACGGGUGGAGCCCUGCGGUUUAAUUGGACUCAACGCCGGACAACUCACCGGGGGCGACAGCAAUAUGUAGGCCAAGCUGAAGACUUUGCCUGAAUCGCUGAGAGAAGAGGUGCAUGG
rnacentral:rRNA from 1 species